CGGGACAUACAGUGUGGUGGUCCU
rnacentral:siRNA from 1 species